rnacentral:rRNA from 1 species
UACGUAGGGUGCAAGCGUUAAUCGGAAUUACUGGGCGUAAAGCGUGCGCAGGCGGUUUUGUAAGUCUGGUGUGAAAUCCCCGGGCUCAACCUGGGAAUUGCAUUGGAGACUGCAAGGCUAGAAUCUGGCAGAGGGGGGUAGAAUUCCACGUGUAGCAGUGAAAUGCGUAGAGAUGUGGAGGAACACCGAUGGCGAAGGCAGCCCCCUGGGUCAAGAUUGACGCUCAGGCACGAAAGCGUGGGGAGCAAACAGG